rfam:Candidatus Accumulibacter sp. SK-12 contig000002, whole genome shotgun sequence.
GGAAGCGUGGCAGAGUGGUCGAUUGCACCGGUCUUGAAAACCGGCAACGGGCAACCGUUCGUGAGUUCGAAUCUCACCGCUUCCG